rnacentral:rRNA from 1 species
GAUGAACGCUGGCGGCGUGCCUAAUACAUGCAAGUCGAGCGAACAGAUGAGGAGCUUGCUCCUCUGACGUUAGCGGCGGACGGGUGAGUAACACGUGGAUAACCUACCUAUAAGACUGGGAUAACUUCGGGAAACCGGAGCUAAUACCGGAUAAUAUAUUGAACCGCAUGGUUCAAUAGUGAAAGACGGUUUUGCUGUCACUUAUAGAUGGAUCCGCGCCGCAUUAGCUAGUUGGUAAGGUAACGGCUUACCAAGGCAACGAUGCGUAACCGACCUGAGAGGGUGAUCGGCCACACUGGAACUGAGACACGGUCCAGACUCCUACGGGAGGCAGCAGUAGGGAAUCUUCCGCAAAGGGCGAAAGCCUGACGGAGCAACGCCGCGUGAGUGAUGAAGGUCUUCGGAUCGUAAAACUCUGUUAUUAGGGAAGAACAAAUGUGUAAGUAACUAUGCACGUCUUGACGGUACCUAAUCAGAAAGCCACGGCUAACUACGUG